rnacentral:tRNA from 1 species
UGGCGUGUGGCGCAGCGGUCAUCGGCGCGAAUGCUAGUAGUCUGCCGGAGGUGAUUGGGCUUGACGAAGCGAUGUUCGAUCCGUUGGACGUCGA